rnacentral:rRNA from 1 species
GUGGGGAAUCUUGCGCAAUGGGCGAAAGCCUGACGCAGCCAUGCCGCGUGAAUGAUGAAGGUCUUAGGAUUGUAAAAUUCUUUCACCGGGGACGAUAAUGACGGUACCCGGAGAAGAAGCUCCGGCUAACUUCGUGCCAGCAGCCGCGGUAAUACGAAGGGGGCUAGCGUUGCUCGGAAUUAUUGGGCGUAAAGGGCGCGUAGGCGGACAGCUUAGUCAGAGGUGAAAGCCCAGGGCUCAACCUUGGAAUUGCCUUUGAUACUGGCUGUCUUGAGUUUGGGAGAGGUGAGUGGAACUCCGAGUGUAGAGGUGAAAUUCGUAGAUAUUCGGAAGAACACCAGUGGCGAAGGCGACUCACUGGCCCAAUACUGACGCUGAGGCGCGAAAGCGUGGGGAGCAAACAGGAUUAGAAACCCGAGUAGUCC